UUAAUAUCUUAUUACUGAAAGGAUUGCCAGUGUAUUAGCGAUUCAAGUUCCAGCUUUGGCAGUGUAGUCUGGAAUGUUUGAAAUUAACAAGAUGAACUCCUAUCAACUACUCCAAGGUUUUCUGAAACAGUCAUAAUAAUUCAAGUUCAUAUUCUGGAAGGAUGUUGACCAACGAACCUUGUAGUAAUGAGGUCAGAGAUGCUGCAAUGCAUAAUCAGUUAUCUGCUUGUAACUCAAGGAAUUAUACUGCAACAUUUCCUCCAGUGCAGGCAAACUCGAAUGAUG